UUGAGAACAAACACAAACACAACCCAAACACAACAGAGCCGUCCCUCUCCUCCUGCUCGCUCUCUCUCUCUCUCUCCAUCUAGGGUUUCGCCUUCCUCUCCUCCAAGGCGGCGGCGGCGAUAUGUGCAAAACCAUCGAAGUCGCCGUCGUAGAACCACCACAACUCAACCCUCUCACGAAGCUCUCGCCGCCGAGCCUCGACGACUUCGACCCCACCGACGACGACGGGUUUUAUAUUCCUCCUCUGAACUUCGCGAUGGUCGACAAUGGCAUUUUCAGGUCCGGUUUCCCUGACACCGCCAACUUCCCCUUCCUCCAAUCCCUAGGCCUCCGUUCCAUCAUAUGCCUUUGUCCAGAACCGUACCCGGAGGCAAAUGCCGAGUUUGUCAAGUCAAAUGGGAUUCAAUUAUUUCAAUUCGGGAUCGAAGGUUGCAAGGUAAGUCUUGUAAUUUUUGUUUAUUUAUUUAUUUUUUGUGUUACUUUUUUACUUAUUAGCAGUGGGUGCAAACUCGAUUUGUUUGUAAUUUUACAUUUUUGAUGAUGGAGGGGCCAUUUGAUGAAUAAAGAAAUCAUUUUGGCUUGAGACCCUGUGAAGAACGAGAUAUAUUGACAAAGGGGAUGAUUAUGAAUCUAGUGAUCGGCUGAGGAUUUAAUGCAAUUACAUAUACUCAUUUCGAGUGAUGGAGUCGAUAAUCCUGCUUGCCGAGCCAACUGUAAGAUAGUUUACCAAAAUUUUGUUGUAAAGAUAUGUUUAGUAGUUUAGUCCUACUUUAUUCUUCUAGUUUUUUGUUUUUGUUUUUGGGCUCAUUUACUAACUCAAUUUGUAGAUUUUAAUUUAUACAGAUGUAAGAAUCUAAAUAUAAAAUUUCAGUACAAUGUUUCCAUUUCUUAAA